GACGAACGCUGGCGGCGUGCUUAACACAUGCAAGUCGAACGCGCCUGUCCUCUGGGUUUCUGGGGGGUGGGUGAGUGGCGAACGGGUGAGUAACACGUGAGUAACCUGCCCCCUUCUUCGGGAUAACGGUCUGAAAGGGCUGCUAAUACCGGGUAUUCACUGGUCUCCGCAUGGGGUCUGGUGGAAAGGUUUUUUUCUGGUGGGGGAUGGGCUCGCGGCCUAUCAGCUUGUUGGUGGGGUGAUGGCCCACCAAGGCUUUGACGGGUAGCCGGCCUGAGAGGGUGACCGGUCACAUUGGGACUGAGAUACGGCCCAGACUCCUACGGGAGGCAGCAGUGGGGAAUAUUGCACGAUGGGCGCAAGCCUGAUGCAGCGACGCCGCGUGAGGGAUGGAGGCCUUCGGGUUGUGAACCUCUUUCGCCCGUGGUCAAGCCGCGACGUGGGUCGUGGUGAGGGUAGUGGGUAAAGAAGCGCCGGCUAACUACGUG
rnacentral:rRNA from 1 species